AUUCUGACAAUAUUUUAUUACCUUUUAAAUUGCAGUGUUGCACUAUAUAUUUUUUUCUUUUGAGCAAAACUUUACUCACUUUACUGUAUAUUACAGUGUAUAAAAAUGGUGAGUGAUUUUAUACGGUUUACACUGACCACUAAGCGCUGAAUACUGGUGUUGGCUUUUGGUCAUAAGGUUAUACAGUAUAAAUUCUCUUAGAUGCACGGAUUAGAUAGACAGGUAUGACAGUCAGACUAUCCAACCAGCCAACGUGUCAGAGAGAGAGUUUUUUUCAAG